GAUCAUGGCUCAAGAUGAACGCUAGCUACAGGCUUAACACAUGCGAGUCGAGGGGAAACGACAUCGAAAGCUUGCUUUUGAUGGGCGUCGACCGGCGCACGGGUGAGUAACGCGUAUCCAACCUGCCCAUCACUUGGGAAUAACCUUGCGAAAGUAAGACUAAUGCCCAAUGAUAUCCCACGAAGGCAUCCGAAUGGGAUUAAAGAUUUAUCGGUGAUGGAUGGGGAUGCGU
rnacentral:rRNA from 1 species